CCACGGGUGGCUGCAGUAGGGACUCUUCCACAAUGGGCGAAAGCCUGAUGGAGCAACGCAGCGUGGGUGAAGAAGGUCUUCGGAUCGUAAAACCCUGUUGUUAGAGAAGCACGUGCGUGAGUGUACCUGUUCACGUUUCGACGGUAUCUAACCAGAAAGCCACGGCUCACUACGUGCCAGCCGCCGCGGUAAUACGUAGGUGGCAAGCGUUAUCCGGCUGGAUUGGGCGUAGAGGGAACGCAGGCGGUCUUUUAAGUCUGAUGUGAAAGACUUCGGCUUAACCGGAGUAGUGCAUUGGAAACUGGGAGACAUGAGUGCAGAAGAGGAGAGUGGAACGCCAUGUGGAGCGGUGAAAUGCGUAGAUAUAUGGAAGAACACCAGUGGCGAAAGCGGCUCUCUGGUCUGGAACUGACGCUGAGGUUCGAAAGCGUGGGUAGCAAACAGGAUUAGAGACCACUGUAGUC
rnacentral:rRNA from 1 species